GAUGGGAGCUUGCUCCCUGAUGUUAGCGGCGGACGGGUGAGUAACACGUGGGUAACCUGCCUGUAAGACUGGGAUAACUCCGGGAAACCGGGGCUAAUACCGGAUGGUUGUUUGAACCGCAUGGUUCAGACAUAAAAGGUGGCUUCGGCUACCACUUACAGAUGGACCCGCGGCGCAUUAGCUAGUUGGUGAGGUAACGGCUCACCAAGGCGACGAUGCGUAGCCGACCUGAGAGGGUGAUCGGCCACACUGGGACUGAGACACGGCCCAGACUCCUACGGGAGGCAGCAGUAGGGAAUCUUCCGCAAUGGACGAAAGUCUGACGGAGCAACGCCGCGUGAGUGAUGAAGGUUUUCGGAUCGUAAAGCUCUGUUGUUAGGGAAGAACAAGUGCCGUUCAAAUAGGGCGGCACCUUGACGGUACCUAACCAGAAAGCCACGGCUAACUACGUGCCAGCAGCCGCGGUAAUACGUAGGUGGCAAGCGUUGUCCGGAAUUAUUGGGCGUAAAGGGCUCGCAGGCGGUUUCUUAAGUCUGAUGUGAAAGCCCCCGGCUCAACCGGGGAGGGUCAUUGGAAACUGGGGAACUUGAGUGCAGAAGAGGAGAGUGGAAUUCCACGUGUAGCGGUGAAAUGCGUAGAGAUGUGGAGGAACACCAGUGGCGAAGGCGACUCUCUGGUCUGUAACUGACGCUGAGGAGCGAAAGCGUGGGGAGCGAACAGGAUUAGAUACCCUGGUAGUCCACGCCGUAAACGAUGAGUGCUAAGUGUUAGGGGGUUUCCGCCCCUUAGUGCUGCAGCUAACGCAUUAAGCACUCCGCCUGGGGAGUACGGUCGCAAGACUGAAACUCAAAGGAAUUGACGGGGGCCCGCACAAGCG
rnacentral:rRNA from 1 species